rnacentral:rRNA from 1 species
UACAGAGGUCUCGAGCGUUAGGCGGAAUCACUGGGCUUAAAGCGUGUGUAGGCGGAUUGCUAAGUACCUUGUGAAAUCCCACGGCUUAACCGUGGAACUGCUUGGUAUACUGGCUGUCUUGAGCCACUUAGGGGCAACCGGAACAAACGGUGGAGCGGUGAAAUGCGUAGAUAUCGUUUGGAACGCCAAUGGUGAAAACAGGUUGCUGGGAGUGUGCUGACGCUGAGACACGAAAGCCAGGGGAGCAAACGGGG